rnacentral:lncRNA from 1 species
UAAGGGAGAGGAAGAGGUGUACACACUCUUAGAGGAUGAGGAGGAAGUGGCUGGGGAAGAUGGAUGAGUCUAAGGAAUGGACUACAGCUUGGGACGAAGCUCCUUGAACUCUGGCAAGGCACCAAUGCAAGCCUUCUCUCCAGACACACACACACACACACACACAAGUAUACACACAUACACACAAGUACACACACACAUGCACACAUAUGCAUGCACACACACAUACACAGACACACGUGGACAGACACACAUGGAUAUACGCGUACAGGACGUGACUAUGGUAACUAGUUUGGUUUAACCAUUCCACAUUAUAUCUAUCAACACAUCACAUUGUACCCCCGCACAUAUAUGCAAUCAUAAUUCACCAAUAAAAAAGAGAAUUUUGGAGACUGGAGAGGUGACUCAGUGUUAAAAAAAAAACUAAUACUAUUUUUCUAGAGGAACUGAGUUAAAUUCCCAGCAUCCACAUUGGGUAGCCUGUAACUCCAUAUCCAGAGGUCAACAUCUUUGGCCUCCAUAGGUACCCACAUACAUACAUGCAUACAUAGAAAUAAAAACUUUCAAGUACA